AUGAUCUACUGCCACUUGGUUCCAGCUACUACAGGAGAACACACAAGAGCAAAAUAUGCACCUAUACCUGCUUCUGUCCUAUUUGAAGUAGCUAAGCACUUAAGGAGAAGUGUAAGCUCAUCAGAAUGCCAUAUGGAGCCAACAGAAACCAUAAAAGGGUUUUCAGGAAGCAGUGCAUGGAAGUUCAUUAAGUGAACAACACUACAAUCAACAUCCUGAUUUAAAACUCUACCGCCACUAAUAAAUUGCACAGGUACGUUACCUGCAUCAGAUUCAGCGCUAUUCCAGGUCGAUGAUGAAGGAUCCAUGUCCCCAAGAAGCAGGGGAAAUAACAUAUUCUCCGUAAACAUAAUGAAGUUAAUGAUUCACAUGACAGUUAAAUAGCUUUCAGAAAUCUUAUCAGUUUAGAGAUAAAGCAGACCAAGGCAAUAAGUGUAUUUUAAUCAUUCCUGCUAUUGAAAACACUGUGACUAAAAGCUGGCUUCCAGCAGCCUAUAAAUGAUAUUUCCGUAGAAAAUGGGGGAGGAGGAGGUGAAAGAAAUGUCAACAGUUCAUAUUUUAGUUUUAUAUUUGGGAAGAGCUCUUUCUCCAAAUAUCUCAGUUAAAAAUAAUUUCUAAAAAGAGAUUUGAGAAACCAAGAUAUCAUCACAUUUUUUCCUUGUAUAAAUUUAGCCUAAUUGUCUUAUUUUUAUUUUUAAAUGCAAGAAUAAAACACCAAACCAUAAAAGUAAUACCACCAUCUGAGAUUUUAACAAUUAAAUCUACAAAAUCUGUCAUAGUUUAAAGAAAUAAUUGCUUACUUCUGCUUGCAAAUGCUUCUUUCCUAAGCCAACAUAAACAAGGAAAAAAUCAGCUACAACAGGAAUGAGGAAUAAUAUAUACAUAAUGAUAUAAUGACCUUUCAAUUAACAAGCACAGUAUUCCCAAUGCAAUGAAGAAUCUGGCCAUUAAAUUCAAAUCAUUAUUAUACAGAGUUUGCACUGCUCGAAUGGUCAGACUGCACAUCUUAUUUACAAAUGGAAACAGGCCAAAAAUGUUAUGAACCUCUACAUACAUGACAUUUCCAAUAUUACAAAAGUAAUCCAUCAGAAAGUAACAAUCAAGAAUGCCCACAAGUUGCCUGACUCUUCUGGAAGUAUCCUGGUGGGCUUGUAACUGAUUACAUCAUUAGGAAUUCACCCU
rnacentral:lncRNA from 1 species